rnacentral:sRNA from 1 species
AGCACAGCAGUAAUGACGACCACCAUUAUUAUUACCAACACAUCGCAUGUUGGGGCAGGCUGCUGAGCGAAAGAUUUUUUAAAAAGGCCUGUAUCCCAACGAUACAGGCCUUUUUUUA